rnacentral:rRNA from 1 species
AUGGCCACGGGGGAGGAGCUGCAACCGCGGUACUGGGAGAGUUGCAAACGGCGUUUCCCCGUGCUACAACCAUGGACACAAAAGCUACAUCCAGUAGAUAAAAAAGCUUCAACCAGACAACGAAAUGCAGGAAAAGUUACAACCGUUUUGACAAAAAGCUUCAACCCGCAGAUGAAAAAGCUUCAAACAGAGAUUGAGAAAAUCCUCCUCGACGACGACCACGACGUCUCUCUGUGUGUUUUGUUGCAACUACAGAGUAAAAAGCUGCAACCCUUUGUGAAAAAAGCUUCAAGCUCAGGUGAAAAAAGCUUUAAUUGGCAUGGUGGAAAGCUUCAGCGAGAAAAGCUUCAAUAG